UCCAGGGUAGCCUAGUGGACAUGGCACCUGCCCGGUAAGCAGAAGGUUGUGGGUCCGAUUCCCGCCCCUGGAC